rnacentral:rRNA from 1 species
GACGAACGCUGGCGGCGUGCUUAACACAUACAAGUCGAACGGAAAGGCCCUGCUUUUGUGGGGUGCUCGAGUGGCGAACGGGUGAGUAACACGUGAGUAACCUGCCCUUGACUUUGGGAUAACUUCAGGAAACUGGGGCUAAUACCGGAUAGGAGCUCCUGCUGCAUGGUGGGGGUUGGAAAGUUUCGGCGGUUGGGGAUGGACUCGCGGCUUAUCAGCUUGUUGGUGGGGUAGUGGCUUACCAAGGCUUUGACGGGUAGCCGGCCUGAGAGGGUGACCGGCCACAUUGGGACUGAGCUACGGCCCAGACUCCUACGGGAGGCAGCAGUGGGGAAUAUUGCACAAUGGGCGGAAGCCUGAUGCAGCAACGCCGCGUGCGGGAUGACGGCCUUCGGGUUGUAAACCGCUUUCGCCUGUGACGAAGCGUGAGUGACGGUAAUGGGUAAAGAAGCACCGGCUAACUACGUG